rnacentral:rRNA from 1 species
UAAUACAUGCAAGUCGAGCGGACAGAUGGGAGCUUGCUCCCUGAUGUUAGCGGCGGACGGGUGAGUAACACGUGGGUAACCUGCCUGUAAGACUGGGAUAACUCCGGGAAACCGGGGCUAAUACCGGAUGGUUGUUUGAACCGCAUGGUUCAGACAUAAAAGGUGGCUUCGGCUACCACUUACAGAUGGACCCGCGGCGCAUUAGCUAGUUGGUGAGGUAACGGCUCACCAAGGCGACGAUGCGUAGCCGACCUGAGAGGGUGAUCGGCCACACUGGGACUGAGACACGGCCCAGACUCCUACGGGAGGCAGCAGUAGGGAAUCUUCCGCAAUGGACGAAAGUCUGACGGAGCAACGCCGCGUGAGUGAUGAAGGUUUUCGGAUCGUAAAGCUCUGUUGUUAGGGAAGAACAAGUGCCGUUCAAAUAGGGCGGCACCUUGACGGUACCUAACCAGAAAGCCACGGCUAACUACGUGCCAGCAGCCGCGGUAAUACGUAGGUGGCAAGCGUUGUCCGGAAUUAUUGGGCGUAAAGGGCUCGCAGGCGGUUUCUUAAGUCUGAUGUGAAAGCCCCCGGCUCAACCGGGGAGGGUCAUUGGAAACUGGGGAACUUGAGUGCAGAAGAGGAGAGUGGAAUUCCACGUGUAGCGGUGAAAUGCGUAGAGAUGUGGAGGAACACCAGUGGCGAAGGCGACUCUCUGGUCUGUAACUGACGCUGAGGAGCGAAAGCGUGGGGAGCGAACAGGAUUAGAUACCCUGGUAGUCCACGCCGUAAACGAUGAGUGCUAAGUGUUAGGGGGUUUCCGCCCCUUAGUGCUGCAGCUAACGCAUUAAGCACUCCGCCUGGGGAGUACGGUCGCAAGACUGAAACUCAAAGGAAUUGACGGGGGCCCGCACAAGCGGUGGAGCAUGUGGUUUAAUUCGAAGCAACGCGAAGAACCUUACCAGGUCUUGACAUCCUCUGACAAUCCUAGAGAUAGGACGUCCCCUUCGGGGGCAGAGUGACAGGUGGUGCAUGGUUGUCGUCAGCUCGUGUCGUGAGAUGUUGGGUUAAGUCCCGCAACGAGCGCAACCCUUGAUCUUAGUUGCCAGCAUUCAGUUGGGCACUCUAAGGUGACUGCCGGUGACAAACCGGAGGAAUGGUGGGGGAUGACGUCAAAUCAUCAUGCCCCUUAUGACCUGGGCUACACACGUGCUACAAUGGACAGAACAAAGGGCAGCGAAACCGCGAGGUUAAGCCAAUCCCACAAAUCUGUUCUCAGUUCGGAUCGCAGUCUGCACUCGACUGCGUGAAGCUGGAAUCGCUAGUAAUC